GUUAAGUCAGGCAACGAGCGAGACCCACGCCAACAGUUGCCAGCUCGUCCUCCGGGAGUGUGGGGACGACUGUUGGGACCGCCUCUGCUAAAGAAGGAGGAAGGAAUGGGCAACGGUAGGUCAGCAUGCCCCGAAUUAUCUGGGCUACACGCGGGCUACAAUGGGUGGGACAAUGGGUAUCGACACCGAAAGGUGAAGGCAAUCUCCUAAACCCAUCCGUAGUUCGGAUUGUGGGCUGCAACUCGCCCACAUGAAGCUGGAAUCUGUAGUAAUCGUGUCUCAAAAUGGCACGGUGAAUAUGUCCCUGCUCCUU
rnacentral:rRNA from 1 species